GAGUUUGAUCUUGGCUCAGAUUGGACGCUGGCGGAAUGCUUUACACAUGCAAGUCGAGCGGCAGCGCGGGGCAACCUGGCGGCGAGCGGCGAACGGGUGAGUAAUGCAUCGGAACAUGUCCAUGUCGUGGGGGAUAGCCCGGCGAAAGCCGGAUUAAUACCGCAUACGCCCGAGAGGGGAAAGUGGGGGGCCGCAAGGCCUCACGCGAUUGGGUUGGCCGAUGUCCGAUUAGCUAGUUGGCGGGGUAAGAGCCCACCAAGGCGAUGAUCGGUAGCUGGUCUGAGAGGAUGAUCAGCCACACUGGGACUGAGACACGGCCCAGACUCCUACGGGAGGCAGCAGUGGGGAAUUUUGGACAAUGGGGGCAACCCUGAUCCAGCCAUUCCGCGUGAGUGAAGAAGGCCUUC
rnacentral:rRNA from 1 species